GAUAAAGAUAUACCCAGUCUGUAUAUAGUGUAUACAGUGUGAGAGAAUGAUAUACAUAGUUUGUAUGCUUAGUAUAUCAUUCUCUCACACUGUAUAUGCCAUAUACAGACUGUGUAUAUC